rnacentral:lncRNA from 1 species
GAUUAAGUCAAUUAGUUGGCAUAAUUAUCCUAACAUUAUCUCUUCAUUAUCUUCUAAUUAUCUCUAAGUGGUGUGUAGAAUAAAAGGAAAGAAUGGGUGGUGUCUUUCUUCAAUUUUGGCAGGAAAUGGAGCGCCAAAUCUCAAGAUAUUGCAAGAGGGGCCUGCCCCUUUUAUGUGGCUAGGUGUGGAGGGGAGAGAGAG